AUAUGUAUUGACAGGGGCUUAUGUUUUUCUAUUUCGUUUUCAGAUGCUGAGGUUUUUAGUGAGCCCUUUCUGGUCAAUACUGCAGGGUUUCCAUCAAAUAGCACUAGAAGUCUUUUCAAAGACCUGCGAGAUUGAAAAGAUCCCAGCCUGUUGAACAGAGAGUAAUUGGUGUCACACACCCGCCUCAUUCUUAUAAAUAUCUCCUCUUUCCUUGCCGGCAGGAACUGGGAAAAGGAAGAGGUGCAGGGGGCGUGGGAGUGCAGGGCAGCGCCCCCUGAGAAGAGGAACGGGCCUUACUCGCAUCUGCUGGUUAGCUCGGAGCCCCCUGCGGCGGAGGCCAAGGGGCCUGUGAAAAAACCAGCUGUCCCACGGCCACAUUCGAUGAUAUGUGGAAGGGAGGAGGUGGAGCAUUACCCUCUAACGUGAGGCUACUUCUC
rnacentral:lncRNA from 1 species